AAUUCUUGGGAAGAUAGAAGUAUUGCCACUACAAGCUUCAAAUCCCGACAGUUCUAGGUUACUGAAGCCCACAGAUGACUCUUCUGCAUGAUCAAAAUGUGUGAUGCUUCAGUAAAUGCAGAAAUUCCUCCAGUUGCCAUAAGACACUGUAUAAAUGUUCCUCUAUACGGCCACGGUCAGGUCACAUUUCUGUGUCUGCAGCCUCUGGGAGUAAACAAGGCUUUCUGGGCUGAGUAAUGCUGCCUUCAAGCUCACCGACAGCAAUCAUAAUUACUGGAGUCGUCGAAAAUUUCCAUGCGCCUCAAAGAAGUGACGUCACAGAGCCAGAGACAAUAACGACGUUAACAAGGCCAUCGUUUAAUAAAAUAAUGCAAUAAUGUAUAUUUUAUAAAAUUACGCUAUUUACUACAUUGUUUACUGUAACGUGUGUAAUCCAAUCCCUACUCGUUGUCAUACUAGUAGGCUAUAGAUUAUUUGCCUAUAUUACUAUAAACCUAUCGCAUCUCAGCGCACAAUGUGUUUUGUCAUGCUUUUUGAAAACAACUUCUGUCCAGGAUAUCACGUCUCUCUUGAUAAACAUAAUAAAAGAAGAGCGACCAGAGAAAACUACUUUUGUUGACUGUGAAUGUUGUUAUUUCCGGACAAUGCACUUCAAUGAGCGGCAGGUCUUCUGUUAUGCGGUUAACGUAAACACUGACUGUUUUCAUGCACUGUUUCCAGGUGAC
ensembl:lncRNA